UCACUUACUUUUUUGAUAACUUCACUCAUAGUUGGUCAGAGUGACGAUAAGUUCUAAUCAUUAAGUUGUAGUUUUUAUUUUAGUUUGUUUAAAAAAUAUUGAAAUUUAUUUUUUUUAAAAAAUUUUUCUCAUAAAAAAAAGAAAAAAAUAUUUUUAUUAUUAAAUUUAUGUGUAUAUUCUACUCAUUUGUCAAUAGAUGAUCAUCAUUUAAUAUGACGAUUACGACUGCGACAUCGGGAGUGCUUUCAAGCGGUUUGUUGGAAUGGAAGUUUCGGCUACUCAGUUCUGAAAGAUGAAAAAGAUCGCGAAUCAUUUGACGUGAGAGCAGCAAAAAGUUUGAAAAUGGCGAUUGUACAUUGAAAUGAAGAUUGAACAUUGAAAUGAAGAUUGAAAAUUGAAAUGAAGAUUGAAAAUGAACAUUCUGAAUCAAAAUAGGGAAAAAAAACUAUUUACUAAAACUUGGAACUUUUGAAAUUUGGAAAAUAUUAUCCAUGAA